GGUUAAGCGACUAAGCGUACACGGUGGAUGCCCUGGCAGUCAGAGGCGAUGAAGGACGUGCUAAUCUGCGAUAAGCGCCGGUAAGGUGAUAUGAACCGUUAUAACCGGCGAUUUCCGAAUGGGGAAACCCAGUGUGAUUCGUCACACUAUCAUUACGUGAAUACAUAGCGUAAUGA
rnacentral:rRNA from 1 species